rnacentral:sRNA from 1 species
AGGUGAGACUAGCAUCGAAAGGCACAUCAACAAGAAGGAGAGACGUCGGCUACAGGCCAAGGGCAGAGUAUUUACGAAUCCUUACAACUACGGCUGCUUGGACAACUGGAAGGUAUUCCUGGGUGUGGAUACAGGAAGGUAAUGUAAGACACAGACUAAUGCUGUCCAACAGAACACUGUGAUGAGAAAGAUGUUCUAUGCCUAUGAGCACUUGGAAUAUGGCUAGUGGCUACUGUGUUAGCACAGUUCUAGACUCUAGGAAUAGAGAUCAUUGUUCAUUUGAACCAGAAAGGCUUGAGGCCAAUACUGUGUGGUUUUAAGUAACAGAUGAGGCUUCAACAUGACUACAGUAGAGUCCUAGGAAAGCUGUGCUCAGGAAGGGGCCUCUGGGUGUAGGAUACGGUGGCCACCAGUCACCUCUCACUUGGAGAGCAGUGUCUAGAGUUCAAGCCAAUAAUUUGUGAGAUUAAAAUAAUCUACUUGUCAUAGAGGCCCUAAGACAGUAACUGGAGCUAGCUCU